rnacentral:rRNA from 1 species
AGUGAACGCUGGCGGUAGGCCUAACACAUGCAAGUCGAACGGCAGCACAGUAAGAGCUUGCUCUUACGGGUGGCGAGUGGCGGACGGGUGAGGAAUACAUCGGAAUCUACUUUUUCGUGGGGGAUAACGUAGGGAAACUUACGCUAAUACCGCAUACGACCUACGGGUGAAAGCAGGGGAUCUUCGGACCUUGCGCGAUUGAAUGAGCCGAUGUCGGAUUAGCUAGUUGGCGGGGUAAAGGCCCACAAAGGCGACGAUCCGUAGCUGGUCUGAGAGGAUGAUCAGCCACACUGGCACUGAGACACGGUCCAGACUCCUACGGGAGGCAGCAGUGGGGAAUAUUGGACAAUGGGCGCAAGCCUGAUCCAGCCAUACCGCGUGGGUGAAGAAGGCCUUCGGGUUGUAAAGCCCUUUUGUUGGGAAAGAAAAGCAGCAGGUUAAUACCCCGCUGUUCUGACGGUACCCAAAGAAUAAGCACCGGCUAACUUCGUG